UACGGGGGGAGCAAGCGUUGUUCGGAUUUACUGGGCGUAAAGGGCGCGUAGGCGGCCACUGCAAGUCAGUUGUGAAAUCUCCGGGCUUAACCCGGAAAGGUCAACUGAUACUGCAGGGCUAGAGUGCAGAAGGGGCAACUGGAAUUCUCGGUGUAGCGGUGAAAUGCGUAGAUAUCGAGAGGAACACCUGCGGCGAAGGCGGGUUGCUGGGCCAACACUGACGCUCAUGCACGAAAGCGUGGGGAGCAAACAGG
rnacentral:rRNA from 1 species